rfam:Homo sapiens chromosome 3, GRCh38 reference primary assembly.
GCCGGGCGUGGUGGCGGGCGCCUGUAAUCCCAGCUACUCAGGGGGCUGAGGCAGGAGAAUCGCUUGGGCCCGGGAGGCGGAGGUUACAGUGAACAGAGAUGGAGCCACUGAACUCCAGCCUGGGCCACAGAGUGAGAUUUCGUCUCAA